CAAAUUUCGCAAUUCAAAAUGCUUCUCUUCCUUAUUUACAGCGGUUUUUCCAUAAGCUUUAGGCUAUUUUUCAAUCAAUGGCUGUUUCAUCAGGCUGUGCAAGGCUUUUGCUGAACCAUCAGACCAUUGAUUACCCGAUUUUCAGGUUUGAGAUUAUCGGCGAUGGUGGAACCGGAAAGUAUUCAUUGGCGUACUGAUUUUUUUCCCUCAGGAUUUGUUUGGUUAUUGGGAAAUUAUGGGAUACGGGACAAUUAGUUUUUUUUCUUACCUAAGCUGUAACGAGCUCAAGGAAUAUGCUUUUGAUCCGAGGCAUUCUGCUCUUGCUCAGGUGCCUUUACUGCCAAAGAGGGAGAAAGCGCUUGGCCUCUUAAUCCAUUUACUCACAAAAGAAGAAUUCGGGGCAUAAGAAGUUGAUAGAAGAAAAGACUUGGCUUGGAAGUCUCCGGAUUGAAGUUGUGAAGAUAAUGUUAAAUGUUUUGUGAUUCUGUUGACACACAAAUCUACAAUCUAUAACUCUAUAACCCUAUGACAAUUUCAAUGCCAGUCCCUUAAUAAAUAUUUAUAUUAUUUUUUUAAUUUUA